CUGGAAGUUGUAGCCAGAAAGAGGAGCUGAAGGGGAGACCACACACAUAGGGACUGGGCAAAGGGCUAAGAAGGGAAGGAGGCUGGAGGAGAGAGGAGGAUGGGUGCUUCACUGCAGCCUGCCCCCAGGCCAUAAGCAGCUCUCUGGCUUGGGCACAGGUACUUACAAGAGGAAACUGAUUAGUCCAAAGGACCGGAAAUCUUAAUGGAGAUGGUGGAGUGCGCAGGGGAGAGAGAGGCCUGAAGAGCAGAGAGCAUUUUGGUGUCCCUGUUCCCAUCAUACCUCACAGGUGGCUUGCUCACUGGCCUUCCUUCUCACCCACCCCACCGCUCAGUGUUUUAGGAGGGACAAGCCUGGACCAGGAAUGUGACAGCUAUGGGAAUUUCAGGUAAUAGGGACUGGCUUCUGCUGCCUUACAAAGCUGUUGUCACCACUGGCCUUAUUUGUCUUGGAAAAGCAAACUCUUCCCUGCGGCUGGUUUAAAUGUGAGAGGGCCAACACCUGUGAGGGAGGUUCGCGUGGAGAAGGGUGAGUGGACCCAGAUCCCAUGCACACACGCAGCUGGCACCUUGGCCACCGAGGUUGCCAAGCCUGACUGCCUUGUCCUGUUUGGAGCCAUAGAGGGAAGACACCAUCAUUCUGGGCAGGCACUUGGGAAAUGGAAUCCAUCCACAAGGCAAUGAGUUAUGGGUGAAGAGGAGAUAAGCUUGCGGGAGGGAUGCCUCCACAGUCCAUCCUGCCCUCAAGUUAUCCAAAGACCUUCAGACCAGAGGGCACGCUCCCUCACCUCAUACAGCAGCUGCCACUGGGCUGGGAAGAGGCACUAGGACCGUCCCCGGAUGGAUGCUGUGGGAGCCUGUGAAAUUAGCAAGGUAUGGGGAAGGACCUCAGGGGUUAGGAAUUGACACUUAGAAUGGGGAGUGGGGGACCCCAAGGGGAAAGCAUGGAAAUGCUUCGGGUUCCCACCCCUCAGGGGGAAAGGACUAGAGAGAAGCAAGGGCAGGAGAGAAUCAGG
rnacentral:lncRNA from 1 species